rnacentral:rRNA from 1 species
GUUCUUUAAAUGAGGACUUGUAUCAACGGCAUCACGAGGGUUAAACUGUCUCCUUUUUCAUAUCAGUGAAACUAAUCUCCCCGUGAAGAAGCGGGGAUAAAUUUAUAAGACGAGAAGACCCCAUGGAGCUUUAAACUCAACUACACUCUUUUUAACUUUUCUUUCAAGCCUUUAAGACCCUGUAUGUUCUGUUUUAGGUUGGGGUGACCGCGGAGCAUAAACUAGCCUCCACAAUGAAUAGACUUCUUCUUUAUCCUAGACUUACACCUCUAAGAAUUAGUAUUCUAACAUAAAAUGAUCCGAUAUUCGAUCAACGAACCAAGUUACCCUGGGGAUAACAGCGCAAUCUACUUCAAGAGCUCCUAUCGACAAGUGGGUUUACGACCUCGAUGUUGGAUCAGGGUAUCCUAGUGGUGCAGCAGCUACUAAAGGUUCGUUUGUUCAACGAUUAAAACCCU